rnacentral:rRNA from 1 species
GAUGAACGCUGGCGGCGUGCCUAAUACAUGCAAGUCGAGCGAAUGGAUUAAGAGCUUGCUCUUAUGAAGUUAGCGGCGGACGGGUGAGUAACACGUGGGUAACCUGCCCAUAAGACUGGGAUAACUCCGGGAAACCGGGGCUAAUACCGGAUAACAUUUUGAACCGCAUGGUUCGAAAUUGAAAGGCGGCUUCGGCUGUCACUUAUGGAUGGACCCGCGUCGCAUUAGCUAGUUGGUGAGGUAACGGCUCACCAAGGCAACGAUGCGUAGCCGACCUGAGGGGGUGCUCGGCCACACUGGGACUGAGACACGGCCCAGACUCCGACGGGAGGCAGCAGUAGGGAAUCUUCCGCAAUGGACGAAAGUCUGACGGAGCAACGCCGCGUGAGUGAUGAAGGCUUUCGGGUCGUAAAACUCUGUUGUUAGGGAAGAACAAGUGCUAGUUGAAUAAGCUGACACCUUGACGGUACCUAACCAGAAAGCCACGGCUAACUACGUGCCAGCCGCCGCGGUAA